GACGAACGCUGGCGGCGUGCCUAAUACAUGCAAGUAGAACGCUGAAGGAGGAGCUUGCUCUUCUGGAUGAGUUGCGAACGGGUGAGUAACGCGUAGGUAACCUGCCUGGUAGCGGGGGAUAACUAUUGGAAACGAUAGCUAAUACCGCAUAACAGUAGAUGUUGCAUGACAUUUACUUAAAAGGUGCAAUUGCAUCACUACCAGAUGGACCUGCGUUGUAUUAGCUAGUUGGUGGGGUAACGGCUCACCAAGGCGACGAUACAUAGCCGACCUGAGAGGGUGAUCGGCCACACUGGGACUGGGACACGGCCCAGACUCCUACGGGAGGCAGCAGUAGGGAAUCUUCGGCAAUGGACGGAAGUCUGACCGAGCAACGCCGCGUGAGUGAAGGAGGUUUUCGGAUCGUAAAGCUCUGUUGUGAGAGAAGAACGAGUGUGAGGGUGGAAAGUUCACACUGUGACGGUAUCUUACCAGAAAGGGACGGCUAACUACGUG
rnacentral:rRNA from 1 species